rnacentral:rRNA from 1 species
GAGCACGUAGGGGGGUUUGUAAGUCAGAUGUGAAAGCCUUCUGUUCAACGGAAGAAUUGCAUCUGAAACUGCUAAUCUUGAGUAUAGGAGGGGAGAAUGGAACUUCUGGUGGAGCGGUGAAAUGCGUAGAUAUCAGAAGGAACGCCGGCGGCGAAAGCGAUUCUCUGGCCUAUUACUGACACUCAGUGUGCGAAAGCUAGGGGAGCAAACGGGAUUAGAUACCCCGGUAGUCCUAGCCGUAAACGAUGGGCACUAAGUAGAGGGGUUUUA